GUGGGGAAUAUUGGGCAAUGGGCGCAAGCCUGACCCAGCAACGCCGCGUGAAGGAAGAAGGCUUUCGGGUUGUAAACUUCUUUUACCAGGGACGAAACAAAUGACGGUACCUGGUGAAUAAGCCACGGCUAACUACGUGCCAGCAGCCGCGGUAAUACGUAGGUGGCGAGCGUUAUCCGGAUUUAUUGGGUGUAAAGGGCGUGUAGGCGGGACAGCAAGUCAGAUGCGAAAACCAGAGGCUCAACCUCUGGCCUGCAUUUGAAACUGUUGUUCUUGAGUGUCGGAGAGGUAAUCGGAAUUCCGUGUGUAGCGGUGAAAUGCGUAGAUAUACGGAGGAACACCAGUGGCGAAGGCGGAUUACUGGACGAUAACUGACGCUGAGGCGCGAAAGCGUGGGGAGCAAACAGGAUUAGAUACCCUUGUAGUCC
rnacentral:rRNA from 1 species